rnacentral:rRNA from 1 species
CCCCUAGACGUUCUGGGCUGCACGCGCGCUACAAUAAUACGCACAGCGAGUAUCACCGAGCUCGAAAGGGCAAGGUAAACAAUAGAAAAGGUACUGUAAUGGUUAUAGAUCCUUGUAAUUAUUGAUCUUCAACGAGGAAUUCCUAGUAAGUAUGUGUCAUCAUCACGCACUGAUUACGUCCCUGCCCUUUGUACACACCGCCCGUCGCUCCUACCGAUUGAAUGGUUUAGUGAGAUCUUCGGAUUGGCGCCACUGCGGCUCAGCAAUGGGCUCGGUGGAUGCCGAAAAGUUGAUCAAACUUGAUCAUUUAGAGGAAGUAAAAGUCGUAACA